CUACCCCGUUGGGAUAGUGGUGGAUUUGGAUGUUGGAAUUCUGGUACAUGGAGGUGAGCGCCAUGCCGUGCUUCAGCUCGUCCGUCAGGACCCGCCUGCCCACCAUGUGGUAGCGAAGGGCGUUGAGCAGCUCGAUGUUGACGUUGCUGACCAGGGAGUCCAGCACUUCCUGCAAGGAAGGACAGGGUGACAGUCAGGAGCUGCAGACCCUGUGUUCAAGAGGCGGGUCCUGGCAACCGUGGGCAGCUUGCUCCCCAGCCCCUGGGCACCCAGGCCUCUCUUCUGCCACGGAUCCCCCCCAGGGAGGACCAAGGGCGGCCUGUCCAAGGUGGCAGAGGUGGCAUCUGCCCCAUCUGGUGAGGUGCAUUUUAACACAAGUGCCCUUUGAGGGCUUAAGGGAACAGCUUCCUGCAGCAGUGGGAAAUGGCUCCAGACUCCCGUUCUUCAUGCCCACCCCUCGGGGAGGCAGGCGGUCCCCCGCAAGAGUCCCCUGGGCAGAAGGAGGUCACUCACGGCAGGCAGGGAGGCCCAGGCCUCGUUGCUGGGGGCGAAGAUGGUGAAGCUGCCCGGGCCCUCCAUCUCAGGCCGCAGCUUCUCCGUGCGGUCCGUGUACAGCUGGGUGGUGGUCGAUCCAACGACGCCCAGGGUCUCGUAAAGGUUUGAGAGCGGCAGGGCUGCAGGGGCAGAGGACAGAGGGAGGGGUGGGCCGCUGGGGGUCCAGCCCAGCCAGGCCAGCCCAGCCCUUCUCUGCCAGAGUGCCGGUGCCCCCCCGCCAGGUGCAAAGCCUGGAGACAGUCUGACGCCGGGGAGCCGAAAGCUCGCUCCAUGCUUCUUAAAAUGACUCAGCAAGUUACUUGCCUCUGUGAACUCAACUAAUUGGGAAUUUUUAUCAUUUCAAACACAGCAGCGCAAAGCUAGUGUUCCUAGAUAUUUAGAUAAUACAGGCAGGAAUAUACAGAAAUAGAUAAUCCUAAUCACAAACUAGUCUUGCAGAUUUACCUAGUUAUUGAAACUGGUUCCCUGAUGGCCUCUACUGGAAUAAAAGAAGUUUAUAAAUCUUCAAAGUACCGUGAAUAUUUGCAGUUAAUAAAAUGUUAUUUCUUAAAAGUAGCCCGAGGUUUAGAAGGGCUUUCUCAGACAGGCAGUUGAACGUUCACUGUGCAGGGUCUGGAACUGGGAUGCAGAGGCUGAGCUCCUCUUCCAGGCUCAUCUCCUUUUCCCACCCCAGUCCCUGCCUGUCCUUGCACUUGAGUCUGUACGGCCACAGCCCUGCCCGGGCCGACCACGCCCUCCCUGUGACCUUGGCACCAACCAAAUUGCCCCCCUCCUUUUUAAGUCUCAGUCUCACAUUCUUAACUGAAAAAACAGCAGAUGGAGGUGGGCAGCGAGCACACAGGGAGAACGCCAGCACCUCCCCACGCCACUGACUGCUGUCACACGCCACUCCUGCUCCUCUCUCCCACCUCUCCCCUCCGUCCACGCCCGCACGCCGGGCCUGGCUUAUUCACCUGCUGGACAGCCCUUCUCUCCGGGGACCUUUUCAUAUCCAGGACAGCACUCGUAGCUGAUGACUCUGGAAUGAGACCAACACACCAAGGAGCUUCUCACCCCUCCUCAGCUUCGUAGAAUGUUCCUGAUGGUUACCAACACCUACAGCAAACCAGCUGGGACAACAAAGGACUCUGGCAGCAUAUUCAAAGUUGUGAUUAACCAACAUCACUCACCGAGACUUGAUCUCCAACGUUACACAGGGGAGCCCAGCAGUUAGCACUCCUGAAAUGGAGCAGGGAGGAGCAGAAACAGCCCUGCACCCGUCCUGGCUCUGAGUCUGCUGCCAACUAGCUGGGGCAUCCCCAGCCAGCUCUGUCGCCUCUCUGGGCCUCAGUCUCCCCAUCUGUAAAAUGCAUGUGUGUACCCUGCAAUGGUCAUGGGAUUCAAUCUCUCGUGGCCUUCCAGCUUUCUGAUUUCAUAACCAAAAAGGGCAGCGUAUAUAUGACCAUCGGGUUUUUCCCAGUCUUCACAAACUUUAAACAUUAAAAUAAAAACAAAGCUCCUCUUAUGAA